GGGUCGUUAGCUCAGUUGGUAGAGCAUCUGACUUUUAAUCAGGUGGUCGCAGGUUCGAUCCCUGCACGACCCA
rnacentral:tRNA from 1 species